AUACGUAGGUGGCAAGCGUUGUCCGGAAUUAUUGGGCGUAAAGCGCGCGCAGGUGGUUCCUUAAGUCUGAUGUGAAAGCCCCCGGCUCAACCGGGGAGGGUCAUUGGAAACUGGGGAACUUGAGUGCAGAAGAGGAUAGUGGAAUUCCAAGUGUAGCGGUGAAAUGCGUAGAGAUUUGGAGGAACACCAGUGGUGAAGGCGACGGUCUGGUCUGUAACUGACACGGAGGCGCGAAAGCGUGGGGAGCAAACAGGAUUAGAUACCCUGGUAGUCCACGCCGUAAACGAUGAGUGCUAAGUGUUGGGGGGUUUCCGCCCCUCAGUGCUGCAGCUAACGCAUUAAGCACUCCGCCUGGGGAGUACGGUCGCAAGACUGAAACUCAAAGGAAUUGACGGGG
rnacentral:rRNA from 1 species